rnacentral:rRNA from 1 species
UACACUCCUACGGGAGGCAGCAGUGGGGAAUAUUGGACAAUGGGCGCAAGCCUGAUCCAGCCAUGCCGCGUGAGUGAUGAAGGCCUAGGGUUGUAAAGCUCUUUCACCGGUGAAGAUAAUGACGGUAACCGGAGAAGAAGCCCCGGCUAACUUCGUGCCAGCAGCCGCGGUAAUACGAAGGGGGCUAGCGUUGUUCGGAUUUACUGGGCGUAAAGCGCACGUAGGCGGACUAUUAAGUCAGGGGUGAAAUCCCGGGGCUCAACCCCGGAACUGCCUUUGAUACUGGUAGUCUUGAGUUCGAGAGAGGUGAGUGGAAUUCCGAGUGUAGAGGUGAAAUUCGUAGAUAUUCGGAGGAACACCAGUGGCGAAGGCGGCUCACUGGCUCGAUACUGACGCUGAGGUGCGAAAGCGUGGGGAGCAAACAGGAUUAGAAACCCCGGUAGUCCCAUG